UCGGGAAUUUUGGGCAAUGGGGGAAACCCUGACCCAGCAACGCCGCGUGAAGGAUGAAGUAUUUCGGUAUGUAAACUUCGAAAGAAUAGGAAGAAUAAAUGACGGUACUAUUUAUAAGGUCCGGCUAACUACGUGCCAGCAGCCGCGGUAAUACGUAGGGACCAAGCGUUGUUCGGAUUUACUGGGCGUAAAGGGCGCGUAGGCGGCAAUUCAAGUCAUCUGUGAAAUCUCCGGGCUUAACUCGGAACGGUCAGAUGAUACUGCUUUGCUAGAGUGCAGAAGGGGCAAUCGGAAUUCUUGGUGUAGCGGUGAAAUGCGUAGAUAUCAAGAGGAACACCUGAGGUGAAGACGGGUUGCUGGGCUGACACUGACGCUGAGG
rnacentral:rRNA from 1 species